CAGGAUGAACGCUAGCGGCAGGCCUAAUACAUGCAAGUCGAGGGGUGCCAUAGUAGCAAUACUAUGGUAACCGGCGGACGGGUGCGUAACACGUACGCAACCUACCUCUUACAGGAGGAUAGCUCUCGGAAACGGGAAUUAAUACUCCAUAAUAUUCUAUUAGGGCAUCCUAAUAGGAUUAAAGCCGGAAGGCGGUAAGAGAUGGGCGUGCGGCCGAUUAGCUAGUUGGUAGGGUAACGGCCUACCAAGGCUAUGAUCGGUAGGGGAACUGAGAGGUUGGUCCCCCACACGGGCACUGAGACACGGGCCCGACUCCUACGGGAGGCAGCAGUAAGGAAUAUUGGACAAUGGGCGGAAGCCUGAUCCAGCCAUGCCGCGUGCAGGAAGAAGGCCCUAUGGGUUGUAAACUGCUUUUGCAGGGGAGAAAUAAGGUUGAUUUAUUGACCGAUGAUAGUACUCUGCGAAUAAGCAUCGGCUAACUUCGUGCCAGCAGCCGCGGUAA
rnacentral:rRNA from 1 species